rnacentral:tmRNA from 1 species
GGGGUCGGCUGGAAUUGACAGGUUGAGUAGUUACGUAUGUAAGCAUGCAGGCUCAUGGGAUGAGAGCCUUGAAAGAUGGUCCUAACAAACAAUUGGCGAAUCUAAUUACGCCAUGGCCGCAUAAUUUCUGAAGUUUAGUAGGAAAUAGCCACGGUUCCGGAUAAGAUUCGGAACGGCCAUCGCCCCUCAGUAGCUCUGUUCCGCGGUUGCUGGCCCAGGGGUGUCGAUCAGCAGAAAUAGUUUGGCAGAUGUUGUUAAUGCCAGGCGAAAUUAAAACAACUAAGGUGUAGCUUGGGCGUUGUCUACCGGGGUGCACUCGAAAACCAAAGACAACUAAGCAUGUAGAAGAUACGCUAGGUACCUUCUCUGGACCAGGGUUCGAAUCCCUGCGACUCCACAA